GACGAACGCUGGCGGCGUGCCUAAUACAUGCAAGUAGAACGCUGAAGGAGGAGCUUACUUCUCUGGAUGAGUUGCGAACGGGUGAGUAACGCGUAGGUAACCUGCCUGGUAGCGGGGGAUAACUAUUGGAAACGAUAGCUAAUACCGCAUAAGAGUAGAUGUUGCAUGACAUUUACUUAAAAGGUGCAAUUGCACCACUACCAGAUGGACCUGCGUUGUAUUAGCUAGUUGGUGGGGUAACGGCUUACCAAGGCGACGAUACAUAGCCGACCUGAGAGGGUGAUCGGCCACACUGGGACUGGGACACGGCCCAGACUCCUACGGGAGGCAGCAGUAGGGAAUCUUCGGCAAUGGACGGAAGUCUGACCGAGCAACGCCGCGUGAGUGAAGAAGGUUUUCGGAUCGUAAAGCUCUGUUGUAAGAGAAGAACAAGUGUGAGAGUGGAAAGUUCACACUGUGACGGUAUCUUACCAGAAAGGGACGGCUAACUACGUGCCAGCAGCCGCCGUAA
rnacentral:rRNA from 1 species